GGUUCAGGAUGAACGCUAGCUACAGGCUUAACACAUGCAAGGUCGAGGGGCAGCAUAACGAAAGCUUGCUUUGUUGAUGGCGACCGGCGCACGGGUGAGUAACGCGUAUCCAACCUUCCCUAUAGUAGAGAAUAGCCCGGCGAAAGUCGGAUUAAUGCUCUAUGUUGUAUUUAGAGGACAUCUGAAGAAUACCAAAGGUUUACCGCUAUAGGAUGGGGAUGCGCCUGAUUAGGUUGUUGGCGGGGUAACGGCCCACCAAGCCCACGAUCAGUAGGGGUUCUGAGAGGAAGGUCCCCCACAUUGGAACUGAGACACGGUCCAAACUCCUACGGGAGGCAGCAGUGAGGAAUAUUGGUCAAUGGACGGAAGUCUGAACCAGCCAAGUAGCGUGCAGGAUGACGGCCCUAUGGGUUGUAAACUGCUUUUAUACAGGGAUAAAGUGAGGGACGUGUCCCUUUUUGUAGGUACUGUAUGAAUAAGGACCGGCUAAUUCCGUGCCAGCCGCCGC
rnacentral:rRNA from 1 species